AACAAAGCAGAUAAACAUACAGCUGCAGUGGGCCAGGAAGGACCAAAUCAUGACUCAAGUGGGUUCAAGAGAGGAUGAGAAAAAAAUUAAAGAUUUCAAUU